ACACCCUCAAGCUCUGCUUGGUGUUGGGCGUCUGUCCCCGCCUCCGCGCGCGGACUCGCCCCAAAUCCAUUGGCAGCGUCCCCUCGCCCCCCUCUCGCGCAGCACGAAUGCGCAUGACGAGGGAGCGGCUCCCGGGAUCGCGACCCACCCCCAAGAUGACCACCGU
rnacentral:misc_RNA from 3 species